ACACGAUGCUCUUCCGUUCUUCAACCAUAACUGAUCUAAUGAGCCAUUCGCAGUUUCACUGUGCUAGAGUUGGUACUUAGACGUGCAUGGCUUAAUCUUUGAGACAAGCAUAUGAUUACUGGUAG